rnacentral:snRNA from 1 species
GUCCGGUGCGCCCCCGGCGGCCC